UUUCAACGCCUACAGGCAUGGAGCCUGAGGGACUUCAGCUCCCACCUCAGAUCACAGGGUGGCAAACUGAGGCCGCGAGAGCGGAAGCCACCGGCCAAGGUCACCUUGUUGGCCCGUGUUAGAGUCGGGGUGGAACCCUUGCCUCCGCCCGCCUGGGCAGGGGCCCCGGGUACAUCUCGCCCGUGCGCCGUCGGUUUUCGAAGCUAGGCACCUGGCUGGAGCCUCCCCAGUUCUGAGAGUAUCGGGGCUGGGACCCGGAGGGGGCACUGAGCCCUUCAGAACUCGGAUGCAGAAGCCUCGCCCGAAGCGGCCUGCGAGGACGAGAUCAAGAAUCAGGAGAAACCGCUGGGCCCUCCGAGAGGGAAAGGGCUUCUUGGCAGGCCUAAGCCGAUGACAACAGGGGAUAUGAUAAUUAUAACAAUGGCUUCCUCCGAGAUUUUCCUUCCGCGGACAACAGCCAUGGUGCCCAGGAGGGGGCGCAGAAGCUGGCACGUGCCAGCCCGCCACCCGGGGCACGAACAUGCUGGGAAGGGGGGCCUCGGAGCGGAAGGAUGACAGGGCCACCUCCGGAAGCCGAGGGCACUCGCGGUGGGAGGACCAGCAGUUGUCUUCGCAUGGAAAUUUAUGUAAGAAAAGCCUGGCAGCGAAACAGCCUCCUUGCACCUGUUUCUCAAAAAGCCAUCAAGUGGUCCUGUUAAAAUCUUUGCAAACUGUCUUCUGGAAUGCCAGGCCAGAGGAAGGCCUGCUGCACCUGGAUAAAAGCCAAGAACUAGAAGUUUCUACAUGUACCAUGGAAGAAGUACAGCCAGAAUGCUCCUUAGAAGCAAGGAUGGAGAGACUACGUCUCACAUACUUCAGACAUGUUGUCAGGAGGGAUCAGACCCUGGAGAAGGACACCAUGCUUGAGACAAAAUGAAAAGGAACUUGGGAGGAGACAGAAUAGGAAGAAUGAUGCUGAUGAUUAUGAUGAGGAUAAUGGUGAUGAUAAUAAGGUACUUACCAUGUGCCAGGCACUGUUCAAAUUAAAUGUUCAGUCCCCCAAACAACCCUGUCUUAGUCUGGGUUCUCUAGAGAAGCAAAACCAGUGAAGUGUAUAAAUAUGUAUAUGGAGAGAUUUAUAUCAAGGAAAUGGCUCACGCAUUUGAAGAGGCUGGAAUGUCCCAACCCCGUGGGUCAGGAUAGAAGCUUCUCCUGAUUCAUGUAGCAAGCUUCUCCUGAUUCAUGUAGCCGUAAACCCAAAAACCCAGUGCUGUCGAGUCCGACUCAUAGUGACCCUAUAGGACAGAGUAGAACUGCCCCAUAGAGUUUCCAAGGAGCGCCUGGUGGAUUUGAACUGCUGACCCUUUGGUUAGCAGCCAUAGCAUUUAACCACCAUGCCACCAGGGCUUCCUCAUGUAGCUGUAGGGUCUGGUAAACCCAAAAUCGGCAGGUGAGAAAGCAGGGCUGUUGCUCACAGGCUGCAAAGAUCUCAAACUGCUAAGUCAUAAGAUCUGGAGGUCAGACAAACGGUAGCCAUCCAGAGUUAGCAAAAGCCCACCAGCCUCGCCAGAAUGUCCGCUUAUAUUGGAAGCAGGCAACAUGCCCAAGGAAACUCCCUUUCAACUGAUUGGCUACUCACAGCAGAUACCAUCAUAGAGGUGAUCAUAUUAUAUCAAAUCUCAUCAUGGAAGUGAUCACAACAUCAUACAACUGCCAAACUACAUCAUAACUGCCAAACCACUGAGACUUUGGGACCAACCAAGCUGACACACAACCUUAACCAUCACAAACCCUAGGAGGAAGACGUUACUCUCACCAUUUGAUAGAUGAGGCAAGUAUGCCCUGUUAGCCUGCCCCUAAGUCUACAGAAUCUGGGGUUGCAGGUCAAAAAGGAGGGGGUAUAAAGCAACCUCUCUAGCUGGAAGCCGUCUCCUCGCCCUACCACCCUCCCCCGCUCCCACCAGUGUCUGGCCUGGGUAGAACAGGCAUAUAAACCCACCGGCAGUGGGUUUCUUUUUUUAAUAGACUUAAUUUUUAGAGCAGUUCUAAAGCAGUUCUACGCUUACAGAAAAAUUAUGCAGAGAAUACUGAGUUCCCAUAUCCCACCUAUCCCCUGUACAUUGUUUCUUCUAUUAAUAUCUGUGAUACAUUUGGUACAAUUGAAUAAAUAUUGAUACAUUAUUAUUAACUAAAGUCCAUAGUUCACAUUAGGGUUCACUCUUUGUGUUGUACAGACCUAUGGGUUUUGACAAAUGAUCACAUGCCCCCCAUUACAAAUAUCAUACAGAGCAGUUCCAUUGCCCUAAAAAUGCCCUGUGCUCCACCUACUCGUCUCCCCUCUCUCCUUGAACC